CUCGCCUCGCUGGGGUUAUUUGAACGCUCUGGCGGUAAUUCGAACUUGGGUGCUCGGCUACGGGCUGACCGGAUUCUGAGGUGAACUUGUAGACUUCACCUGGGGUCCGUAGGGACCCUGCAGCCCGGAGCAGACGAGGCUCGUCCCGGCCGGGUGCCGGCGCCAUGGGGGCGGAGAAGAAGCUGCUACCGGUUAAGGAGGCCUUUCAGCUGGCGCAGCAGCCGCACCAGAACCAGGCGAAGCUGGUGGUGGCGCUGAGCCGCACCUACCGCACGGGGUAACUGUCAGAUUGUCUGAAGGGAAUUGCUGUGUCAAAGAGGAAAUGUAUUUGUAAAUGUGAUAAUUACAGUUGCCCUUCGUAGAGUGGUCCAUUCUAUACUCCCAGGAGCCAAGUAUGAGAGGACUGAAGCAAAUAGCAAUGAAGUUCAGUGUUUGUUGUGCCAGAUUCUAAAUAAGUUCUUGGGAAAUAUGCUGGAAAAAGGCCAGAUUGAUAAUGUUUUGUGCAUAAAAUGGAUGAAGCUCUUCUUACUAGACUAAAAGAUAAAAUCCAAAUGUGAGAUACAGGCAGUCCUGGCUCUUUCAAGACUUAAGACCUAUGGGUAAUGAUUGCCCCAUAAAGAUUUUAUUUAUUUGACAGAGAGAGCACAAGCAGAGGGA